rnacentral:rRNA from 2 species
AAAUUGAAGAGUUUGAUCAUGGCUCAGAUUGAACGCUGGCGGCAGGCCUAACACAUGCAAGUCGAACGGUAACAGGAAGCAGCUUGCUGCUUUGCUGACGAGUGGCGGACGGGUGAGUAAUGUCUGGGAAACUGCCUGAUGGAGGGGGAUAACUACUGGAAACGGUAGCUAAUACCGCAUAACGUCGCAAGACCAAAGAGGGGGACC